rnacentral:piRNA from 1 species
GUCCUCAAACGGUUUGCACCAACUGG